rnacentral:lncRNA from 1 species
UUCAAAGCAGCUGCCAGGUUUUUGGUGCCCCAAAAUUUUUUUGGGCCUGAGGCGGCCGCCUGUUCCGCCUCACCUCAGGUCCGGCCUGCAAAGCAGGGUACAAUAUUGAUGAUUGAUGCAGGGUUGCAGACCCUUUCUCUUCCCCUUUCUCCCCUCACUCGCCUACUAAACGUUCUUCAAACGCCAACUAACGUCCUUAAUAAAAAAUUGAUCCACGCGUCUAAAUGGAGAUUCCGGGUGCAUAUGUACACGGGUGCGCUAAAUAAUUUUCGCUCAUUGUAAUGACUCAAGUUAUCCUCUCAGACUACCCCAAAACCUAACCAUGUUUGUCUGUUUGUUUUUUUUCUCUCGUUUUUUUCCUCUUCUUUGUCUCUCUAACUAUAGUAGCCAUGGUAGCACCUCAGGUAGGCCUUCGCCUUGGCUAGCUUGUAUAGCAACGCAAGAGUCUUAUAUGAAUAUUGUAUUGGUUGGACACUUGACAGAAACUGAUGAAGUUCCAAGGCCGAACCCUGAUUCGGCGUCCUAUAGCCGAUGAUGGGCCUUUUUGGGAUCUUGCCUGGUUUAGGAUGCUGAAAAGUACUCUGGGAGUAAACGUGGUCAAUUGGGGAAGCAAAGAAAUUCAGAAGAUGGUAAAAUAGACAACACAGAUUUCCAUUUUCUUAAAUUUAUACACUUCUGAAUAAUCAUACAUCACACGGCACAGUUAGCAUGCUGUGAACAGUAAACAGGUAUCAUGAGGAGAAGGGAUACCCAGUAAUGAUUCAUAGUCUUCCCCAAUUGACCAUAUCUAUCUGGUAGUUAUAUGUUUGGUUCUGAACUUCUGAUGGUUGACACCAAUUUUCAAUGGCCAUGAUCCCAGAAAAUAACGGAUAUAGAUUUCAGACUGGUCUUCCCUACCACUCUAACACAACUGAUCUCGUAGCGUAAUUUUUUCAGUCUACAUUUGUUACUGAUCUGGAUCACUUUCAUGGAAGUUUACCUUCAUUAUACCAUUUUCUCUUAUCAGUUUGAAUUUGUAGAGGCCAUAGAUCCACCUUACCUCUGAUUAUACCAUAGCCAAUGAAGGGGAAAGUUGGUUCACCAAAUAUAAAAGGAAAUUAAAACCCGUCUUCCUGUUAGAAAGAUAGCCAUAAUUAAGCAAUAUUGCGUGUGCAUGAGAGCUAUAUCAAAACUAAC